CAGCCGCCGCGGUAAUACGUAGGUGGCAAGCGUUGUCCGGAAUUAUUGGGCGUAAAGGGCUCGCAGGCGGUUUCUUAAGUCUGAUGUGAAAGCCCCCGGCUCAACCGGGGAGGGUCAUUGGAAACUGGGAAACUUGGGUGCAGAAGAGGAGAGUGGAAUUCCACGUGUAGCGGCGAAAUGCGUAGAGAUGUGGAGGAACACCAGUGGCGAAGGCGACUCUCUGGUCUGUAACUGACGCUGAGGAGCGAAAGCGUGGGGAGCGAACAGGAUUAGAUACCCGGGUAGUCCCUGUCUCUUAUAC
rnacentral:rRNA from 1 species